rnacentral:lncRNA from 1 species
AGAGAGAGAGAGGUUACUUACUAGACAGUGUAAUGGGUUAGAGAGAGAGAGGUUACUUACUAGACAGUGUAAUGGGUUAGAGAGAGAGAGUUUACUUACUAGACAGUGUAAUGGGUUAGAGAGAGAGAGAGGUUACUUACUAGACAGUGUAAUGGGUUAGAGAGAGAGAGGUUACUUACUAGACAGUGUAAUGGGUUAGAGAGAGAGAGUUUACUUACUAGACAGUGUAAUGGGUUAGAGAGAGAGAGAGGUUACUUACUAGACAGUGUAAUGGGUUAGAGAGAGAGAGGUUACUUACUAGACAGUGUAAUGGGUUAGAGUGAGAGAGAGGUUACUUACUAGACUAGACAGUGUAAUGGGUUAGAGAGAGAGAGAGGUUACUUACUAGACAGUGUAAUGGGUUAGAGAGAGAGAGGUUACUUACUAGACUAGACAGUGUAAUGGGUUAGAGAGAGAGAGGUUACUUACUUGACAGUGUAAUGGGUUAGAGAGAGAGAGAGAAAGAGAGGUUACUUACUAGACAGUGUAAUGGUUAGAGAGAGAGGUUACUUACUAGACAGUGUAAUGGGUUAGAGAGAGAUGUUACUUACUAGACAGUGUAAUGGGUUAGAGAGAGAGGUUACUUACUAGACAGUUUAAUGGGUUAGAGAGAGAGACGGGUUACUUACUAGACAGUGUAAUGGGUUAGAGGGAGAGAGGUUACUUACUAGACUAGACAGUGUAAUGGGUUACAGAGAGAGAGAUUACUUACUAGACAGUGUAAUGGGUUAGAGAGAGAGAUUACUUACUAGACAGUGUAACGGGUUAGAGAGAGAGGUUACUUACUAGACAGUGUAAUGGGUUAGAGAGAGAGAUUACUUACUAGAGAGUGUA